rnacentral:rRNA from 2 species
UGGCGGACGGGUGAGUAAUGUCUGGGAAACUGCCUGAUGGAGGGGGAUAACUACUGGAAACGGUAGCUAAUACCGCAUAACGUCGCAAGACCAAAGAGGGGGACCUUCGGGCCUCUUGCCAUCGGAUGUGCCCAGAUGGGAUUAGCUAGUAGGUGGGGUAACGGCUCACCUAGGCGACGAUCCCUAGCUGGUCUGAGAGGAUGACCAGCCACACUGGAACUGAGACACGGCCAG